rnacentral:rRNA from 1 species
UACGAAGGGGGCUAGCGUUGCUCGGAAUCACUGGGCGUAAAGCGCACGCAGGCGGAUUGCUAAGUCAGGGGUGAAAUCCUGGAGCUCAACUCCAGAACUGCCUUUGAUACUGGCGACCUUGAGUCCGGGAGAGGUGAGUGGAACUGCGAGUGUAGAGGUGAAAUUCGUAGAUAUUCGCAAGAACACCAGUGGCGAAGGCGGCUCACUGGCCCGGUACUGACGCUGAGGUGCGAAAGCGUGGGGAGCAAACAGG